UAGAAAUAUGCACUCUUCCUCAAUUUUCACAGCGCAACACAUUCUUUUCAGCUAACAAGUACAGUUCUUUUAUACACAACAAUGGUAAGACAACAUCUUCCCGCCGAUCACCACUCAGCAAUGUAGUACUGUAUGAAAUAUCGAGCACUUGUGCUUGCUAGAGUGAUAAACCGAACCUUUUCAGUUUAGUUGAUAGAUCAAAUACACCAAUGUGCCGGAAUAGCUACAGAAACGAACGCCAGAUAUGUGUGUGUGUGUGUGUGUGUGUGUGUGUGUGUGUGUGUGUGUGUGUGUGUAGCACAAAAUAGCAAGAUGAUAGCUUGCGCAAGUCUAACGGUCCCUCCGGUAACUUAACCUACUAGCACACAGCCUCAUGGCUUGAUGCUCAAAGCAGAAGAGUUGCACAUGCCACUACCAGCAGAAUGCAGGUGCUUACAGCCGUCUUGUGAGCAGCAGAAGGCGAUGAACCAGGAG
rnacentral:lncRNA from 1 species